GUCGACACCUAAAAGCGUAGAAUAAAAGCUUGAUCAACACCAAGCCCAACACCACAUAAUCAACUAAACAUAAAAACAAAAUUCGAGAAGUUAAUGCUUUCUUUGGAAAAACUUGACGAGAGUUAUUACUCUUUACGUAGAAGAACAUAGUUAGUGUUAGGUCUGCACUACCAUGGGUGACUGUAACUCAUAUUACCAGUUUUAUAUAAGAUUUUCUACCAUUCCAACAAAGUUUUUUUUUCCCAGAUGAAUCGUUAACCAUGGAUUUGUUAAAGCAGAUCUUAACAAAAUUUCAGAAAUCAAAGAUGGAUCACCGAGCUUAAAGGAUUGGAGAAACUGUUAUCUCUUCUAAAAUUGGCUAGUAUAUUUUAGUUAUU